CUUUUUUUCUUGCUCUUCUUUUCCCUGUUUCCGUCCGAGUCUCCGAGAGGGGACGAUCGUGGGAGAAGGGGGAAGUGAGAGCGAUGGAGAAUCAGAGAUGAGAGUGAAAUUGAGAGAGAAAAUCUGAGAGUGAGAUGAGAGGAGAGACCCGGUCCCCCUUUUCUUCUCCCUAUCUCCUUUCUUCCUUUCUUCUUUCUUCUCUUCUAAGACCGAGAGACCCGAGAGAGAGAGAAGCCGACUGAGAGAGACAGAGACCUGGAGAGAGUGAAACAGAGAGAGAGACUAAACGGGAGACGGACGAAGAUGGAGAGCCAGGGGAGGGUUAGACCACCGGAGUUUCGAUUUCCGGUGGUCGUUGCUCGAGAAACCGACGGAGAGAGGAAAGGACCCGACAGACCCAGAAGGAUCUGAAACCCAGGAGAAUCGGAGCAGAAACCCGACCCUCCGACGAGACCCUACCCGAUCCUUCAGGGGCCAUCGCCGGAAAUGGUCCCAGUAGCGAUUCCCGGCGGUUCUGGCCGGAAAUCCGGCGACUUCCAGUAGUGAUUUUCCGGUGAAGCCUAGAGAUGUUUUCCGAGAAUGAAAUAUUAUGAGAACUGCACCAAAAGGCUGUUUAUAGACAAAGAUUAGAGCUCAAGAGGUUUUAAAGCUAUGGACACAUAGUUUGUACUUUGUUUAUAGUUUUCUUUGUUUAUAACAUUUUAUGUUGACAAGAUUGCUAAUAAUUUUCAUGUAUUCUCUAGUGUCACUAUUGACACCUGUUUACAUGUAUUUGUUCUAAACAUUUUCUUUAUGGAUGUCUAGAAGCAUUUCAUAUAGAAGUUCUGUCGUGUUAUUAAUUCCAAGUCUGUUGGAUA